UACGGAGGGGGCAAGCGUUGUUCGGAUUUACUGGGCGUAAAGGGCGCGUAGGCGGCCACCGCAAGUCAGUUGUGAAAGCUCUGGGCUUAACCCAGAAAGGUCAGCUGAUACUGCGGGGCUAGAGUGCAGAAGGGGCAACUGGAAUUCUCGGUGUAGCGGUGAAAUGCGUAGAUAUCGAGAGGAACACCUGCGGCGAAGGCGGGUUGCUGGGCUGACACUGACGCUGACAGCGCGAAAGCUAGGGGAGCGAACGGG
rnacentral:rRNA from 1 species